rnacentral:rRNA from 1 species
UACGUAGGGGGCUAGCGUUGUCCGGAAUCAUUGGGCGUAAAGAGCGUGUAGGCGGCCCGGUAAGUCCGCUGUGAAAGUCGGGGGCUCAACCCUCGAAUGCCGGUGGAUACUGUCGGGCUAGAGUGCGGAAGAGGCGAGUGGAAUUCCUGGUGUAGCGGUGAAAUGCGCAGAUAUCAGGAGGAACACCGGUGGCGAAGGCGCCACUCUGGGCCGAAACUGACGCUGAGGAGCGAAAGCGUGGGUAGCAAACAGG